UACGUAGGGUGCGAGCGUUAAUCGGAAUUACUGGGCGUAAAGCGUGCGCAGGCGGUUUUGUAAGACAGAUGUGAAAGCCCCGGGCUUAACCUGGGAAUGGCAUUUGGGACUGCAAGGCUUGAGUGCGGCAGAGGAGACUGGAAUUCCCGGCGUAGCAGUGAAAUGCGUAGAUAUCGGGAGGAAUACCGAUGGCGAAGGCAGGUCUCUGGGCUGACACUGACGCUCAUGCACGAAAGCGUGGGGAGCAAACAGG
rnacentral:rRNA from 1 species